rnacentral:piRNA from 1 species
AUUUGUGCCCCUUCCUCUAGC